ncrna:unclassified sequences Glutamine riboswitch
GUCGUUUAUCUCAUAAAUAUCUUCUAGUAUCUCCUUAUGGCGCAUAGCAAUAAUUGGUUCAAAACCAUUGUGAGACGCAAGUAAGCGGAAGCUGAAGAAACGGAGU